ACUGCGUACCUUUUGUAUAAUGGGUCAGCGACUUAUAUUCUGUAGCAAGGUUAACCGUAUAGGGGAGCCGGAGGGAAACCGAGUCUUAAUUGGGCGUUAAGUUGCAGGGUAUAGACCCGAAACCCGGUGAUCUAGCCAUGGGCAGGUUGAAGGUUGGGUAACACUAACUGGAGGACCGAACCGACUAAUGUUGAAAAAUUAGCGGAUGACCUGUGGCUGGGGGUGAAAGGCCAAUCAAACCGGGAGAUAGCUGGUUCUCCCCGAAAGCUAUUUAGGUAGCGCCUCGUGAAUUCAUCUCCGGGGGUAGAGCACUGUUUCGGCUAGGGGGCCAUCCCGGCUUACCAACCCGAUGCAAACUGCGAAUACCGGAGAAUGUUAUCACGGGAGACACACGGCGGGUGCUAACGUCCGUCGUGAAGAGGGAAACAACCCAGACCGCCAGCUAAGGUCCCAAAGUCAUGGUUAAGUGGGAAACGAUGUGGGAAGGCCCAGACAGCCAGGAUGUUGGCUUAGAAGCAGCCAUCAUUUAAAGAAAGCGUAAUAGCUCACUGGUCGAGUCGGCCUGCGCGGAAGAUGUAACGGGGCUAAACCAUGCACCGAAGCUGCGGCAGCGAACGUAUCACUUAAAGCGAUUCAGCGGGUUACGACUGACGGAGCGAAGCGACGUCAAAGCGUAUACAAAGUCGAGUCGGUUUAAGGAUACGUUCGUUGGGUAGGGGAGCGUUCUGUAAGCCUGCGAAGGUGGCCUGUGAGGGUUGCUGGAGGUAUCAGAAGUGCGAAUGCUGACAUAAGUAACGAUAAAGCGGGUGAAAAGCCCGCUCGCCGGAAGACCAAGGGUUCCUGUCCAACGUUAAUCGGGGCAGGGUGAGUCGACCCCUAAGGCGAGGCCGAAAGGCGUAGUCGAUGGGAAACGGGUUAAUAUUCCCGUACUUGGUGUUACUGCGAAGGGGGGACGGAGAAGGCUAUGUUGGCCGGGCGACGGUUGUCCCGGUUUAAGCGGGUAGGUGUGUGUUCCAGGUAAAUCCGGUUCACUUUAACACUGAGGCGUGACGACGAGGCACUACGGUGCUGAAGCAACAA
rnacentral:rRNA from 1 species